GAAUAGGUAGAUAUAACUUAAAUAUUGACAAUUAACUUUGACAUUACCACUGAUUGCUAACAAAGUUUUUAUAAAGAUGUUUAAUAAUUGUGCCACGGCAGCACAACCAGUUAUCUACAGCUUUAGUAUAUGAAUCGUCACCCUGCAAAGAACUAGUAAGUGAAAAAUGAGAAGAGAACAUCCUAUGAUGUGCACACAUUGCAGCUUUUCCUACAAUAGCCAUCAGCACUGUCACCCACCAUAUAGAGAGGGUUCUUCUCACACUCGCCCGCCUUUGCCCAUAAAGGGCAGUUCUCAUUCUCAUCAACACAAUCGCCAUUUCUUGAUUGCUUGAGAGAUUUCUCAAAGGACCUGACAUGGAUCCAUUUGGUUGCUGACCACUUCUCACCCUCAAUAACUGGGCA
rnacentral:misc_RNA from 1 species